GUCUAUGGUCAUGCCACACUGAACACGCUCGAUCUCAUCUGAUCUCGGAAGCUAAGCAGGGUUGGGCCUGGUUAGUACUUGAAUGGGACACCACCUAGGAAUACUGGGUGCUGUAGGCA
rnacentral:rRNA from 1 species